rnacentral:sRNA from 1 species
UUUUAGCCCUGAUUGAAGCGGCAUCCUUUUUAUUAUUAAUUUGUGAAGCUAUGAAUAAAUUAAUAAUAAAAAGAUAUAGCAGAAAGCAGGAAAUUGC